rnacentral:tRNA from 1 species
GAGAGAGGCUCGCUAGCUAAAAAACUGCUAAUUUUCAUGACUUUGGUUGGACCCCAAGGCUCAACUCG